CCAUCCCAUAUUUGUGGAGGAUUUUGUGGGGUUUUGAAUUUUAAAUUCAAAAUUCAAGUUCAUGUGCCAUUACAUGAUGAAGCUUGAUCUAAUCUAAACCAUUCAUCAUGUUGCCACUUUCCUCUUUCAAUUUUGAAAUUCCCAUGCCCCCAAACAGAUUAGAGGGUCACAUGGUGAUUUUGUGAUGAUUAAAUUCGAAAUUCAACCUUAAUUAGAAGUGAGAUAAAGAUAAGGAUGACAUAUGUCAUGAAGAGAGAGAAUUUGAUCUUAUCCAAUUCUUUUCAUGAAUUUAU
rnacentral:lncRNA from 1 species